UGGGUGGAUGGGUUAUCUAGCCCCCUGGUGGCCAGCAUGCAUAUGACAGAAAGAACCUCUCUGGCAGUGUCGCUGUAAACUGAGCGUUCGUUACCUUGUGUCCUUCAGUUCGUGUAAAUGCCGUCAGAGUAGAACACUCCUUUAAUAUGGUAUGGUAAGACAUACUUCAUAUUGGAUGUAUUUGGCUUUUGCAGGUGCACCGAAUGAAGUGUUUGAAUUUCUCAACCGUGUGUGCGCUGGUAGGCGGGUGGAUGCCUUCCAGACCUAAUGUGUGCAACAGCGCACAUUUACAAAGUCUUAAAUGGAUGAGGGCGGACCAUUGCUGCCGUCUAUGUAGGAUUUUUAAAAAAGCACACGGUUGUUUGCUGUCUUUCCUUUUACCCAUCUGCUCCCCCCCCCCCCCUCCCCCGCCCGAUUUCAUUUUGCAGUUGGCUCUCGAGUCCAUGCGGGUACCCACCAUGUAAACAUGAGACACACCAACGUGCUGAUGAGUAUCACCACCUGGUUGAACAUGGCCGAGUGUGUCCGCUGGAUGGCCCUGUGGAGGUCGUUCUGCAGAGAGACGCAAAAAGUGGGAGACGCCAGAUGAGGCGUGCAAAAGAAAGACGGGGCCUAAAGAAUGCACACGCAGCCGAGGAGCCAGGGAAGUGGAAACCGACUGUGUCAUCCAUGACUGCCAUCCAUCUACAGUAGCAGCAGUGACCAUGAAGGGGACAGCGCUGAUCAUCUCCAGAAUGAAUGGGACACGUAGUACUUGCUCCCAGACGUUGCCCUGGAAACACAAAGCACACACAAGAGGGCCCACAGAGGAAGAGGUCUGUCCACCCAGAUGAUCAGCUUCCUGCAAGGUGCAAGGACAUGACAAGACAAGGAGCAAAAGGUACAACCAAUAAGGAUGCGGACAUUUUGGAAGGGAACGAGACAAAGAAAAUUCAUUGAUCCAAUCCAGAUUGCAUGUAAUAGUGCGCUUGCAGUGCCAUCGUAUUAUAGACAUGAAGUAAUAAAUAAAAACAACAUAGUCAUGAAUGUAAGAGGCCACAAUUAGCAGCCGUGCUCAGAAUGUUGCAUUACUGCCCUUGUUAAAGCGGUAAACUGUAUGCGGGCCAUUUAUGUCGCUGUCCAAGCUGUUUCUUGCUUAAUGGAAGAGCAUGUGUGCGCGUGUGCAUUAUAUUCAUAAUUGGGCUAUUUUCCAACAACAGGAGUGUCACUGUGGUCGCACAAACCCUGUCAGUGACUCACCCAAGAAAAUACAAUUACAAACAUUUUUGAACGCUUCCUACCAAUUAGAGUGCAUUACUUUUUUUUUUGGGAUGAAACCUAUUCAAUUUUAUGCAAAUGGAAUUGAUACUGACAAUAGGUGCAAAUGACAGCUAAUUUUAACGACAUAUUGAAAUAUUUCAACCUACCGUGCAUGUUUGGUUCGGAAGAUGGAUGCAUGGAUUUUCAUUUUUCCUAAACUGUCAAAACAAUUUUUUGUCAGCUCCUUCAUAAUAGUGAUUCACAUUUUUUUGGUGGGGGGGGUUGUAUUAAAAUCUGGGGAGAACUUGUAAUAAUUUUUUGGGUGUUAUUGGGUAACAGUUCAACGAAUUAAUUACGGCACAUAACGUUUUGUAAGAAAUCUUACAAAAUUGUGGGGAAAAGACGGUCUGUCUUGUGACACGAUAGACCUUUGGUAAGAAUUUACUUUUAAAAGUAAAUAUAUUAUUUUGUCACAUUUUUCCAAGCUUGUGUUGGCUUUAAAAAUUUUUUUUGUCAGUUUUCCACUAAUUAUGUUGCAUUGUAUUUUUGCAUAAAAUCCUUCUAAAUUCUCAGGAGAAAAAGGGCAUCAUCACUGAGAUGAGUGGCUGCUUAAAUAGACAAAAUACUUGUACCAGCACCAUCAACAGCUCGUGUUCUCAUAUUGUAGGCGAAAAGUGAGAUUCACACAGUCAAAUGGAAAUUU